ACGAACGCUGGCGGCGUGCUUAACACAUGCAAGUCGAACGGUGAAGGGGUCUGCUUUUGUGGGCCCUGGAUGAGUGGCGAACGGGUGAGUAACACGUGAGUAACCUGCCCCCUUCUUCUGGAUAACCGCAUGAAAGUUUGGCUAAUACGGGAUAUUCUGGGUCUGUCGCAUGUUGGGUCUGGGAAAGAUUGCGCCUUUGGGUGUUUUUGGUGGGGGAUGGGCUCGCGGCCUAUCAGCUUGUUGGUGGGGUGAUGGCCUACCAAGGCGGUGACGGGUAGCCGGCAUGAGAGGGUGGACGGUCACACUGGGACUGAGACACGGCCCAGACUCCUACGGGAGGCAGCAGUGGGGAAUAGUGCACAAUGGGCGCAAGCCUGAUGCAGCGACGACGCGUGAGGGAUGGAGGCCUUCGGGUUGUAAACCUCUUUCGCCAGUGAAGCAGGCCUGCUCCUUGUGGGUGGGUUGACGGUAGCUGGAGAAGAAGCGCCGGCUAACUACGUG
rnacentral:rRNA from 1 species